rnacentral:tRNA from 1 species
GGCCCCAUCGUCUAGUCCGGUCUAGGACAUCAGAUUCUCAUUCUGAAGACACGGGUUCGAAUCCCGUUGGGGCUACCA